ACUGGGAGCGUGGCGCACUCCUGUAAUCCAGCUUCUUGGAGGUCGGGUUCAGUGGAUGGUUUGAGGUUGGGAGUCCUGUUGCAAAGCGAUUCACGUUGACUGGAUGUCCGCACUAAGAUCGGCAUCGAUAUGGACAUCCCGGAGGAGUCCGGGAUGUCCAGGUCAGCUAAGGAGGGGCGAACCGGGCCAGGGGGGAAACCCAGCAGCCAAAAGUCCCCGUGUCGUUCAGUAGUGGGAUCGCGUCUAGGAGUGGAAGCUUUGUGACAGCCCAAUCAAUACAGCUAGACCUGGGCCUUU
rfam:Tribolium castaneum strain Georgia GA2 linkage group LG9, whole genome shotgun sequence.